UGUCACCAUCUGCUCUGCCUUAGAGCCUAUCUCUGCUCAACGCCUAGAAAUUAUUUUAAAAACGGCUAAUUACACAAAUGGAUGGGGGUUGGGGGAUGGGACUGGACAGACCCGGAUGGCAUGACAAAAGUCUCAAAGAAUCCUGACCAACUGGAAGGAUAGGUUCAAACACACAGCAGUGAUAGAGGCCUGAGAAACAGAACACCCAAACCACAGAUUCCUAGAUUCUAGAUUCUACUGCCUGUGGAGACAGAGUCUAUAAUGGAUUGGCUGACCACGAUCCAGAGUCAGUAAUGAGGCUGGCACCCUUGACCCUACGACUAAGUCAUCAGAGCACCAGGUUUCAGGCCCAGUGCCUACAGGUAUAGAAGAGAAGAGAAAGCAAGCAAGGCAUAUCUGUGCACCACACACAUGCCUGAUGCCCACGGAAGUUACAAGAUGACAUGGAUCUUUUGGAAGUGGAGUUACAGACAGUUGUGAACUGCCAUAUCACCUGUAAGAGAAUAAUACCAACAUAGUGGUACCAAGGUCUUCAGCUGUUCCUGUGGGCCUGUGUCUUGAGUUCACCAGGCAGGUUUCUUGCAGCAGAAAAGUUGGUCUUACCUGUGGUCCCGAGGCUCAAGUUCACUCGCGGGGUGCUGCCCAAGAGCUCUCUGCGGCGGCAGCAACCAGGAAGAUCUGCGCCGCCGUUUCCGGGAGCUUCAGUGCACCAGGAUUACAGAUGGCGUUUGGUGUUUUCCUCUGGCGUCCGAGAUGUGUGCAGAGUGCAGUGUCUUCUGGUUUCCCAGGCGUGUCUGCCUCUCUGAAGGUUUAGCUCUCCCUCCCACGGGAUUUGGGUGCAGAGAACUGUUUAUCUGGUCUGUUCCUUCAGGUUCCGGGGGUGUCUCAGGCGCAGGGGUCUUGCCGCUCCUGGGCCCUCCCUCACGGGAACCCAGAGGCCGCAUACAGUUUCCUCUUGGGCCUGGGAUGUGGGCAGGGGUGGGCAGUGUUGGUGGUCUCUUCUGCUCUGCAGCCUCAGGAGUGCCCACCUGACCAGGCGGUGAGGUCUCUCUCCCACGGGGUCUGGGAGCAGAGAGCUGCUGCGGGCCGGGAUCCGUGGGUGUGGGACUCCCGGUAAACACAGGAAGUCGUACAUGUUUUAUUUAUCAUACUCACGGCCAAUUAUAUUCUCCCCUACAGACAGACAGACAGACAGACAGACAGACAGACACACACACACACACACACACACACACACACACACACACACACACACAUCGUUUCCUCUUCCCAACUAGCUUCCCCUCUACUUCCGUGCCUUGUUUCGUUGUUUGUUAACCUAUGACUGUCUCUGGAGUUGUUUACAGGGGAAAGGCUAAUCACAGGAGCAUGGCAGCUGAUCUGUGGCUACACCACUGAGAGGGUGUGUCUCUGCGCAGUGUUAGUCUUUGGAAGCAAUCAGAGCAGGCUGGCAGGACGGCAUGUACAAUGGUUAGCUUUGUUCCUGUAACAGAGAUAGACCAGCUUACAAAGAUAAAAGGGAUGCCUUGGCUCACAGUUUUGGAGACCUCAGUCUAGGGUCCCUUGGCCUUGUUACUUUUAGCCUGCGGUGAGAUAGUACACAUCACGGUGCACAUGAAAGGCAGAGGGAGCUGCUCACCUCCUGGUAGCCAGGAAGCAAAGAAAGAGUGAAGAGGGGCCAGAAUCACAAAAUUCCCUUUGAGCACAUGACCCUAAUGGCUUAACUUCCUUCUCCUCAGCCUCAUAUGUGGAAGGCUCCACAGCUAACAGUACCGUGGGCUAGGGAUCAAGCCUUAAACACAUGGGCCUUUGGUGGUCAUUCAAGAUCCAAACUGUAAAACAUUUCCAGACACAGCACCUCAGGCUUCACUUUCAUACAAAGCCAAAAGAGCUGCUGCCAACUGCCUCAUGUGAGGUCCCAAGAAAGGUUCCCUCAGGCUCUUUCUUAGAGUCCCUCCCAAGAUCCCAAGAACUCCUUCCUCUCUGACAAGGAGGGGAGAAAGCAGGGUCAUCUUUCCACUUGGGCUGGAUCUGCCUCCCAACCUCUAGUCCCCUAGGUGUGUCUAUGGAAAGAAGUUUGAAGACUGGAUACUGCAGGAAACUGGUGGAUAAAGGCUGGGUCCUGCCAGGCUCAGAAAGGCAGCUUAUAGGGCUGACCAUUUGGUACUGGAUAACCAGUCGUCAUGCUCUUCCCUGGGGAAAAUGCUUUCUCCUGCUCUCAGCGUCCCUUCGUUGCCUGUAACUCUUGGUCUUCCCAGCUGCACUGGCCUGUCUAUUGGUGUCUUCUUCAGCCCAUGCUUAGGCAGUCACGUUGAUGAGUUUGAAAGGGUCUUUUGUUGCUUUGGCUGGCCUGGGCGCACUAAGACCGAGGACUGCGGAACUGGGACCUUCUCAAGAAUUUUUAGGAACGGAACACAGAACACUGGGCUGGGCAGCUAUGUAUCUUUUGUUUUCCCAGCUGGUUCGACAGAAGCACCUUAGAGCUCCCUGCCCUGGCUGUGCCCCUGUCAGUCAUGACCAAGCUGUCCUGGCACUGGAUACAGAGAGUCCCUGGCUACCUGUUUCUUGGCCUCAAAAUUGAGAUAGCAUUAGUCCCUACAUCUUAAAGCUAUCAGAUGUGUUCAGGGGACAUGGCAUGUGGUCCACAAAGGCCAGCAAUUACUUAUGGAGUCCAGAGGUCUCGAUGCAGCUAGUAGGGGAACUGUGGAAGUGUGCCUUUCAGCAGGGAGACUGCAGCUUUGUUUUAAAUUUUAUUUACUCUUUCACAAGUUCUUUUAAAAAUUAUUGUAUUGUUUAUAUAUUUGGUGGGGGCAUGCCAUAUUGCACACAUGCAAGUAAAGAAGAGUUAGAGGAGUCAAUUCUCUUUCUGCCGUGUGGGUUCCUGGGAUAGAAUUCACAUGGUUAGACUGGGUGGGAGAUGACUUUACUGCUGAGGCAACUCACCAGUCCUAUCAUACAGUCCAAGUGGGCCUCAUACUUGUGAUCCUCCUGCCUCCUCCUCUUCAGGAUAUCCUACUGGUGUGAGCCACCGCAACUGAGUGUCACAAUCUCUCUCCGUCUCUGUCUUUCUUUCUCUCUCUCUCUCUCUCUCUCUCUCUCUCUCUCUCUCUCUCUCUCUCUGUGUGUGUGUGUGUGUGUGUGUGUGUGUGUCCGUGGCUGACUGGCUGUCUCCCUCUCUCACACACACACCCUUGGUUUCAUGUCUCAUGUCUAUGUUUCAGUUUCUUAAAUCAUGCAUCCACUGGUGUUUUCUGGUUUGGGCUUUAACAAUUGCAUCUCUCUCUCUCUCUCUCUCUCUCUCUCUCUCUCUCUCUCUCUCUCUCGCUCACACACACACACACACACACACACACACACACACACACACACAC